GUGAAAAAACUAAGGACACUAUUAAAGUUAUGGAUCAGAGUCUGGACAUAGACAUCAGAAGAGAGUGCCUGCUGAAGUGCCUGAUCAUGUACCUUGGUGAAGAUGCAAGCUGUCUGAUCAAAGAAUACCAGGCUGACCAGAGGGAGGAAG